ACUCCUACGGGAGGCAGCAGUGGGGAAUAUUGCACAAUGGGCGCAAGCCUGAUGCAGCCAUGCCGCGUGUAUGAAGAAGGCCUUCGGGUUGUAAAGUACUUUCAGCAGUGAGGAAGGCGGGUACGUUAAUAGACGUGCUCGUUUGACGUUAGCUGCAGAAGAAGCACCGGCUAACUCCGUGCCAGCAGCCGCGGUAAUACGGAGGGUGCGAGCGUUAAUCGGAAUUACUGGGCGUAAAGCGCAUGCAGGUGGCUUGUUAAGUCAGAUGUGAAAGCCCGGGGCUCAACCUCGGAAUUGCAUUUGAAACUGGCAGACUAGAGUACUGUAGAGGGGGGUAGAAUUUCAGGUGUAGCGGUGAAAUGCGUAGAGAUCUGAAGGAAUACCGGUGGCGAAGGCGGCCCCCUGGACAGAUACUGACACUCAGAUGCGAAAGCGUGGGAGCAAACAGGAUUAGAUACCCUGGUAGGUGA
rnacentral:rRNA from 1 species